GGUCCACAUUGGUGGUAAGGUAGUUUUCGUGUCCGCUGUCCACCGCAGACAACAACUUCCCGCUAAAUGCUAAUCAGCCAUCUCUGAAAUCCCAUUAAUAUCACAACUAUAAAUCUAGUCAGUUGAGUCCCAAGAUUUCAGCCUGUCUUAGAAGUUAUCAAUCAUCCAUACAUCGCAGAUUCUUUGAAUCAGCUUUUGGUGAAAAGAAAAGGAAAUGGCCCGCAAGAAGAUCAGAGAAUAUGAUUCCAAGAGAUUGUUGAAAGAACACUUGAAGAGGCUUGCUGGUUAUGAUUUGGCCAUCAAAUCUGCCCAGUUUACAGAAUCAACUGAUUUGAAUGAGCUUGUAGAGAAAGAGCCAUGGCUUUCUUCAACACAAUUGGUGGUAAAGCCUGAUAUGUUAUUUGGGAAACGUGGAAAAAGCGGACUAGUUGCCUUGAAUCUUGACGUCUACGUCAAUAGCCUAAAGCAAUUUCGACAUCACAACUUAAGUAUUGUUGUAAUCUUUUCGCGGUCUCUUAAUCUAUUGUUGUAGGUAUAUGGACCUGAGGAAACCAUGACUGGCAUCUGCAAACAGGCUAUUGAAUGCAUCACUGCAGCUGCGUAAAGCUACCAACUCAGCAUUCUCCAAGCUUAAAUUUUUUUUGGUUUUCUUUUUGGCUUUGUGUUAGCAUAAUGGUGUAUGUCUAAUAUAAAAGAGAGUGCUUUGUACUAGAGACAUUUUACAUAAAUGAGCCAUCAGCAAAUGGGCUCUAAUAAUGAAUUUCGUUUCUGCGUUUCUCAAGUAAA